CCUACGGGUGGCUGCAGUGAGGAAUAUUGGUCAAUGGGCGCGAGCCUGAACCAGCCAAGUCGCGUGAGGGAUGAAGGAUCUAUGGUUUGUAAACUUCUUUUAUAUGGGAAUAAAGUGCGGAACGUGUUGCGCUUUGUAUGUACCUUAUGAAUAAGCAUCGGCUAACUCCGUGCCAGCAGCCGCGGUAAUACGGAGGAUGCGAGCGUUAUCCGGAUUUAUUGGGUUUAAAGGGUGCGUAGGUGGUUAAUUAAGUCAGCGGUGAAAGUUUGUGGCUCAACCAUAAAAUUGCCGUUGAAACUGGGUGACUUGAGUAUAUUUGAGGUAGGCGGAAUGCGUGGUGUAGCGGUGAAAUGCAUAGAUAUCACGCAGAACCCCGAUUGCGAAGGCAGCUUGCCAAGCUAUAACUGACGCUGAAGCACGAAAGCGUGGGGAUCGAACAGGAUUAGAUACCCUGGUAGUC
rnacentral:rRNA from 1 species